UGGGGAAUAUUGGACAAUGGGGGAAACCCUGAUCCAGCAAUGCCGCGUGAGUGAUGAAGGCCUUAGGGUUGUAAAGCUCUUUUACCCGGGAUGAUAAUGACAGUACCGGGAGAAUAAGCCCCGGCUAACUCCGUGCCAGCAGCCGCGGUAAUACGGAGGGGGCUAGCGUUGUUCGGAAUUACUGGGCGUAAAGCGCACGUAGGCGGCUUUGUAAGUUAGAGGUGAAAGCCCAGGGCUCAACCCUGGAAUUGCCUUUAAGACUGCAUCGCUUGAACAUCGGAGAGGUAAGUGGAAUUCCGAGUGUAGAGGUGAAAUUCGUAGAUAUUCGGAAGAACACCAGUGGCGAAGGCGACUUACUGGACGAUUGUUGACGCUGAGGUGCGAAAGCGUGGGGAGCAAACAG
rnacentral:rRNA from 1 species